rnacentral:rRNA from 1 species
UACGUAGGGGGCAAGCGUUGUCCGGAUUUAUUGGGCGUAAAGAGCGUGUAGGCGGCUUUGCAAGUCCGUUGUGAAAACUCGAGGCUCAACCUCGAGACGCCGGUGGAAACUGCAAAGCUAGAGUCCGGAAGAGGAGAGUGGAAUUCCUGGUGUAGCGGUGAAAUGCGCAGAUAUCAGGAAGAACACCCGUGGCGAAGGCGGCGACCUGGGUCGAGACUGACGCUGAGGCGCGAAAGCGUGGGGAGCAAACAGG